rnacentral:tRNA from 1 species
GGUAGAAUGACCGAGAAAGGUGAUGAGCUGUAGUCUCAUUUACAGGAAGAAUGUCUUCUUUUCU